rnacentral:rRNA from 1 species
AUUGAACGCUGGCGGCAGGCCUAACACAUGCAAGUCGAACGAGUGGCGGACGGGUGAGUAAUGUCUGGGAAACUGCCUGAUGGAGGGGGAUAACUACUGGAAACGGUAGCUAAUACCGCAUACCAUCAGAUGUGCCCAGAUGGGAUUAGCUUGUGGGGGGGGUAACGGCUCACCAGGGCGACGAUCCCUAGCUAGUCUGAGAGGAUGACCAGCCACACUGGAACUGAAACACGGUCCAGACUCCUACGGAAGGCAGCAGUGGGGAAUUUUGGAAAAGGGGCGCAAGCCUGAUGCAGCCAGGCCGCGUGGAGGAAGAAGGCCUUCGGGUUGUAAAGUACUUUCAGCGGGGAGGCGUUACCCGCAGAAGAAGCACCGGCUAACUCCGUGCCAGCAGCCGCGGUAAUUC